CAUGGCUCAGGAUGAACGCUGACAGAAUGCUUAACACAUGCAAGUCUACUUGAAUUUGGGUUUUUUAACUUCGAUUUGGGUGGCGGACGGGUGAGUAACGCGUAAAGAACUUGCCUCACAGCUAGGGACAACAUUUGGAAACGAAUGCUAAUACCUAAUAUUAUGAUUUUAGGGCAUCCUAGAAUUAUGAAAGCUAUAUGCGCUGUGAGAGAGCUUUGCGUCCCAUUAGCUAGUUGGAGAGGUAACGGCUCACCAAGGCGAUGAUGGGUAGCCGGCCUGAGAGGGUGAUCGGCCACAAGGGGACUGAGACACGGCCCUUACUCCUACGG
rnacentral:rRNA from 1 species